rnacentral:rRNA from 1 species
UACGUAGGGUGCGAGCGUUGUCCGGAAUUAUUGGGCGUAAAGAGCUUGUAGGCGGUCUGUCGCGUCUGCUGUGAAAAUCCGGGGCUCAACCCCGGACUUGCAGUGGGUACGGGCAAGGCUAGAAUGUCGGGUAGGGGAGACUGGAAUUCCUGGUGUAGCGGUGAAAUGCGCAGAUAUCUGGAGGAACACCGGUGGCGAAGGCGGCAUCCUGGACCGAUAUUGACACUGACAGACGAAAGCUAGGGGAGCGAAACCGG